UACGAAGGGGGCAAGCGUUGUUCGGAAUUACUGGGCGUAAAGGGCGCGUAGGCGGCUUAUCAAGUCAGGCGUGAAAUUCCCGGGCUCAACCUGGGGGCUGCGCUUGAUACUGAUGAGCUUGAAUGCGGGAGAGGAUAGUGGAAUUCCCAGUGUAGAGGUGAAAUUCGUAGAUAUUAGGAAGAACACCAGUGGCGAAGGCGGCUCACUGGCCCGGUACUGACGCUGAGGCGCGAAAGCGUGGGGAGCAAACAGG
rnacentral:rRNA from 1 species